rnacentral:rRNA from 1 species
AGCGAACGCUGGCGGCAGGCCUAACACAUGCAAGUCGAACGAACCUUCCGGGCUUAGUGGCUGACGGGAGAGCAACCCGUGGGAACAUGCCUUUAGGUUCGGACCAUCUCAGGUGACUAAGGCUCAUAACCUAAGGCUCCUUCGGGGGAAAAGAUUUAUCGCCUUUAGAGCGGCCCGCGUCUGAUUAGCUAGUUGGUUGAGGUAAUGGCUCACCAAGGCGACGAUCAGUAGCUGGUCUGAGAGGAUGAUCAGCCACAUUGGGACUGAGACACGGCCCAAACUCCUACGGGAGGCAGCAGUGGGGAAUCUUGCGCAAUGGGCGAAAGCCUGACGCAGCCAUGCCGCGUGAAUGAUGAAGGUCUUAGGAUUGUAAAAUUCUUUCACCGGGGACGAUAAUGACGGUACCCGGAGAAGAAGCCCCGGCUAACUUCGUG